AUUGUACGCUGGCGGCAGGCCUAACACAUGCAAGUCGAACGAGUGGCGGACGGGUGAGUAAUGUCUGGGAAACUGCCUGAUGGAGGGGGAUAACUACUGGAAACGGUAGCUAAUACCGCAUACCAUCGGAUGUGCCCAUAUGGGAUUAGCUAGUAGGUGGGGUCAAGGCUCACCUAGGCGACGAUCCCUAUCUGGUCUGAGAGGAUGGCCAGCCACACUGGAACUGAGACACGAGCCAGACUCCGACGGUAGGCAGCGGUGGGGAGUAUUGCACGAUGGGCGCGAGCCUGAUGCAGCCAAGCCGCGUGUAUGAAGAAGGCCUUCGGGUUGUAAAGUACUUUCAGCGGGGAGGCGUUACCCGCAGAAGAAGCACCGGCUAACUCCGUGCCAGCCGCCGCGGUAAUUC
rnacentral:rRNA from 1 species